GCUGCCACCAGACGUCACUACUCUUCAGUAUUCGACGGAGUAAUCUUGCCCUAGCCGCCACCACUCCACCAGGUGCCCCUCGCGUCCUCCAUCCUCGCCCCGCACGGUACUACAGGAGUAUGUGAGGUGGCUAUCAAGUGAUCACGAUCUCAUAUUCUCCUUCUCCAAGUUUGUCAGCUUUAAGGAAUAGCAGGCAUUUGGUGUCUGCUUUGGCUGGACGAUGGCCUACAGUCAACAUCUAUUUUCCUGACCUAUGAUGACGACUCAAGGAGGAUUGCCACCGACAAGCAAUGAAGCUAAUCUGUGCACCAAUGACAAUGGUAGCCAACUUGGUACUCGGAUUGUGGACGAGAUUAUGGCUGGGAAGAACGUCUUCUUUGAUCUUCCUGACAAGUUGACUGGUGAGAUAUGGACCUUGAAAUUCCAUUGCAUGGGAGCACAACCUAGAAAAGAGAUUGUCACAUUAAAUAUUGAUAAAGCUUAUGUUGCCUUUUACAACGUGGUGUACAUAAAAUCAAAACUUGGAUAUUCUGAAAGGGAUUUCUUGUUUUACAAGAAACGAUGUGGCAUUGAUCGAUCUAGGCUAGUGGCACUUGAUUACAUCCACCAAGAAGAGGCCAUGAUAUCUGAUAAUGUGGACGAGAGAAAAAUAAGUUUUGUGCUCACAAAAGAUCCACCCAGUGAUCUAGAGGUAAGCAUAACUCCCAUCAAGCGUCCAAGGCAGCAGACAAAUGUUGAUGAAGAAAAUAUAGAAGUGUUAAUUGAUGCAUAUAAGGAGUGGCUUGCAAUACUACAACAUGAUAAUCCAGAAACGGAUUUAAUGGAUGACUUUAGGGAGGAUACGAUCAAAACAUAUAAGAAUGGUUAAGGCAUCAAGGCGAUCUUCCAGAUAUCUAUAACGAUGGAGUCUUCAAAAAGGAGGGGCGUGGUACCCUUAAGGGUAUAGUAGCAGCUACCAAGCGAAUCAAGAACGGCGAUCACAAACUUAAGAUUGAAUUUUCAUCUAAGCUUGGAGGUCCUGUAGGACCAAACACUCGCACGUUUGUGGAUGAAAUCGUAUUGUUUACAAAGAAAAAGGCACCACUCAUUGGAGUGAAAAAGUGGAAAGAUAUAGAGCUCAAUGUUAGAUCUUCUAUAGCAUCUCACGUAUUGAGAAGGUGGGAGUUUCCAAGAAAUGAGGACGCGCGUGAAAAGAUAUGGUCUAUUGCCAAGGAGAGGUACAAAGGAUGGCGAUCAGCAUUAAGCUCAACAUACAAGGCAUACAACAAUUAUGCUGAAAGGAUGAAAAACAAGCCUAAAGAUGUAGACAUCGUCGAGUGGCAUUACCUUAUGCUGUAUUUUGGAUCUGAGAAAUUCCACGUUCGAUAGCAUUUCCUUUACAAUGAUUCACACUUGCAUAAUAUCGAUGAUUCUAGCAUUUUAUUUAUUAAUUCAUUUACAACUGUUAUUAUUUUGUAGAAAAUAAGUAGUCGGAACUCAGAAAACCGUCAGAAACGAAGAACAAAGCAUAUAAUGGGUUCUAGAACUUUUUCCCAUAAGCUUUGAUCAGAGAGACCCAGAAACUGGUAUAGAACCAACUGAUCUAACCCUUUGGAUGAGUACUCAUUGUAAAAAUGGUGAAUGGUCGGAAGAGGCUUCACGUGGUAUUUAUGAGAAGACAACUAAGAAAAUUGUUGAGAAAGUAUAUCAAGAUGAUAGAUUUGAUCUGACGAGAGAAGAGGAAAAUGCUAUUUUCCAAACAUCAUUCAAGGAAACAACAGGAUGCAAGGCAAACAGGCUUCAUGGUCAUGGGUACCUAUCAAGAUAUCCAACAAGAAGUCAAGUGAUGGAUUCAAAAUUCCUCGACAAGCUCGUGCAACGGCUGCAACCAACCAAAAGAACAUUGAACUCGAAACCCAGGUCCAACUAUUAAAUGAAAAACUUGCGAGUGAGGUUGCAGAAUGGGAAAGAAUAGUGCAAGAAAAAAUGCAAGCACUACAAGAAGAAGAAAGAAAAAGGCAAGUACUUAGAGAAGAAAUGAGGAACGAAAUGGUUGUUGCCCUUACUGCAGCACAACAGGCCAACCGAGAAAGCAUCACUCUAGUCGAUCCUCCUUUAGUGAUCCCAACUGAAACUCCUGAACUCAUCCCAGCUGAUCCUCUUGCACCAACACCAAGAAGUGAAAACAAUGUUUGUACUCCAGACACAAACAACAAGAAAGACAAUGUGCCAGCGAACUAUAUUAGCUCUUACGCUCUAAGGAAUGCUGUGACAAGACGUGUGCAGGCAAGGGGCAACAAAAGAAGUGAAUGUGUACAAUCUAUAAGUGCAAGCGAGAAAUAAGGUAGAUCAUCUUAAGAAGUUCUAUCAAAGCAUGUUUAAGGUUCGUUGUCAUCGCGAUAUCGUUGUCAUGUAACCAUCACUUGCAUCAAUGGAGGAGAUGGAGGGGUACACGGUGGACCAAAAAAGCUUCCACUCAUUUGCUAGUGUUGAGUAGUUUAUUACCUAUGUUAUCACAAUCCAAGCUAGCAUGAGGAUGUUGUGAUUGUGAGCUGUUUUGUCAAAUUAAUUUGUAUUUGGUCACUGUUUAUUUGGUGCAACCUAUUUGUUACAAAAUGGUAUGGAUAUAGUUAAUAUAUGAGGCAAGAGACAAAUAUUAUGGUUGUCAAUUUUGGUUCUGACGUUACAUAUGCGAAAUAUAAUUCUUUU